rnacentral:rRNA from 1 species
GACGAACGCUGGCGGCGUGCUUAACACAUGCAAGUCGAACGGAAAGGCCCUGCUUGCAGGGUACUCGAGUGGCGAACGGGUGAGUAACACGUGGGUGAUCGGCCCGGCACUUCGGGAUAAGCCUGGGAAACUGCGUUUAAUACCGGAUAGUAACCAGCGUUAGUGUGGUGGUUGGAAAGAUUUUUCGGUGUCGGAUGAGCUCGCGGCCUAUCAGCUUGUUGGUGGGGUAAUGGCCUACCAAGGCGGCGACGGGUAACCGGCCUGAGAGGGUGUACGGACACAUUGGGACUGAGCGACGGCCCAGACUCCUAAGGGAGGCAGCAGUGGGGAAUAUUGGACAAAGGGCGCCAGCCUGAUGCAGGAAGGCCGCGUGGGGGUUGAAGGCCUUCGGGUUGGAAAAUGCUUUGGAUAGGGACGAAGCGUUGUUGUGACGGUACCUAGAGAAGAAGCACCGGCUAACUACGUG